rnacentral:rRNA from 1 species
AGGACGAACGCUGGCGGCGUGCUUAACACAUGCAAGUCGAGCGGAAAGGCCCUUCGGGGUACUCGAGCGGCGAACGGGUGAGUAACACGUGGGUAACCUGCCCCUUGCUCUGGGAUAACUCCGGGAAACCGGGGCUAAUACCGGAUAUGACACUCGCAGGCAUCUGCUGGGUGUGGAAAGUUUUUCGGCGAGGGAUGGGCCCGCGGCCUAUCAGCUUGUUGGUGGGGUGAUGGCCUACCGAAGGCAGUGACGGGUA